rnacentral:rRNA from 1 species
UACGGGGGGGGCAAGCGUUGUUCGGAAUUACUGGGCGUAAAGGGCUGGUAGGCGGCCAACUAAGUCGGAUGUGAAAUCCCCAGGCUUAACCUGGGAACUGCAUCCGAUACUGGUCGGCUUGAAUCCGGGAGAGGGAUGCAGAAUUCCAGGUGUAGCGGUGAAAUGCGUAGAUAUCAGGAGGAACACCAAUUGCGAAGGCAGCUCGCUGGGACGUUACUGACGCUGAGACGCGAAAGCGUGGGGAGCAAACAGG